AGGGAAGAGGUGACUAGUGACAGAGUGAGGGGAUGACUGGUGACAGAGGGAGGGAGUGACUAGUGACAGAGGGAGGAGGGGGUGACUGUCACUAGUCACCCCAUCCCUCUCUCUGUCACUAGUCACUCCCUCCCUAACUCUGUCACUAGUCACCCCCCCUCACUCUGUCACUAGUCACCCCCUCCCUCACUCUGUCACUAAUCACCCCCUCUGUCCCUA